AUGUUGGCUGUAAGUGUAAGAGAGUUUCGAGACGACCACUUUAGCACACAAAUGCUAAGAAUUACAGUUCUUACGACACUUAAAAUUGCUGUUCUGAACGACGAGAGACAUGGCCGGGAGACCUACAGCGCCCUCAAUCCACCCACUCCAGGAAAAAGACCGGUUGUCCGACAACAAGGAACGAGGAGGAAGUUUCUUGCCCAUAAUUGACAGUUCCGAGAAUCAGAAAGUGGCAUCGCCCGCAGGAAAGAAAAAGAUUAAGUUGUAUUCCAACAAAGUUUUUAUCCCGUUCUAUAAAAGGUAUGUAGACAUCCUCCCUCCGAACGAGCAGAUCUUGUUUCAGCCGUACGAGGAGAUAGACCACAGAGAGGAAGGUAUC